UACGAAGGGGGCUAGCGUUGCUCGGAAUCACUGGGCGUAAAGUGCACGUAGGCGGCUUUCUAAGUCAGGGGUGAAAUCCUGGAGCUCAACUCCAGAACUGCCUUUGAUACUGGAGAGCUUGAGUCCGGAAGAGGUGAGUGGAACUCCGAGUGUAGAGGUGAAAUUCGUAGAUAUUCGCAAGAACACCAGUGGCGAAGGCGGCUCACUGGCCCGAUACUGACGCUGAGGCACGAAAGCGUGGGGAGCAAACAGG
rnacentral:rRNA from 1 species